rnacentral:rRNA from 2 species
CAAGUGCGGAGCGGACAGAUGGGAGCUUGCUCCCUGAUGUUAGCGGCGGACGGGUGAGUAACACGUGGGUAACCUGCCUGUAAGACUGGGAUAACUCCGGGAAACCGGGGCUAAUACCGGAUGCUUGUUUGAACCGCAUGGUUCAAACAUAAAAGGUGGCUUCGGCUACCACUUACAGAUGGACCCGCGGCGCAUUAGCUAGUUGGUGAGGUAAUGGCUCACCAAGGCGACGAUGCGUAGCCGACCUGAGAGGGUGAUCGGCCACACUGGGACUGAGACACGGCCCAGACUCCUACGGGAGGCAGCAGUAGGGAAUCUUCCGCAAUGGACGAAAGUCUGACGGAGCAACGCCGCGUGAGUGAUGAAGGUUUUCGGAUCGUAAAGCUCUGUUGUUAGGGAAGAACAAGUACCGUUCGAAUAGGGCGGUACCUUGACGGUACCUAACCAGAAAGCCACGGCUAACUACGUGCCAGCAGCCGCGGUAAUACGUAGGUGGCAAGCGUUGUCCGGAAUUAUUGGGCGUAAAGGGCUCGCAGGCGGUUUCUUAAGUCUGAUGUGAAAGCCCCCGGCUCAACCGGGGAGGGUCAUUGGAAACUGGGGAACUUGAGUGCAGAAGAGGAGAGUGGAAUUCCACGUGUAGCGGUGAAAUGCGUAAAGAUGUGGAGGAACACCAGUGGCGAAGGCGACUCUCUGGUCUGUAACUGACGCUGAGGAGCGAAAGCGUGGGGAGCGAACAGGAUUAAAUACCCUGGUAGUCCACGCCGUAAACGAUGAGUGCUAAGUGUUAGGGGGUUUCCGCCCCUUAUUGCUGCAGCUAACGCAUUAAUCACUCCGCCUGGGGAGUACGGUCGCAAGACUGAAACUCAAAGGAAUUGACGGGGGCCCGCACAAGCGAUGGAGCAUGUGGUUUAAUUCAAAGCAACGCAAAGAACCUUACCAGGUCUUGACGUCCUCUGACAAUCCUAAAGAUGAGACGUCCCCUUCCCCGGCGAAGUGACAGU